UCCAUAAAAGGUGCAGAUUUUUGAAAAAUGCGUACCAGAGUCCUCCCCCGGUUUUCGUCCCUAAACGACAUCAAGAAAAAGAGUGAAGACGUCUCAGACGAACGCGCCCGCCCUCUUCAUCAGUCCAUUACGUCUCGCGAGCGAAACCCUAGUUCCACAAUUUUGCGGGCAAAGGAAGAACAUCGUCCAUCCAUUUGCUGUUUGAUUCUCUGAAUCUGGAAUUUGAAAUAAUCGGAUGAAACUAUGUAUUCAAGGGCUGAUGUGGAGGCCUUCCAGGCUGCAAUGAAUAAGGACAUAGAAGGAAAUGUGUCUACUUCCCAGCUGUCUGAUUCGCACACUGCUGUUUCCUCUCAACGAAGCAAUCGUACCUCUAUUCAGCCAUUACAGCAGUUUCAUGCUGCUAGCCAGGAUGGGUGUGCAGCUUCUCGAAUUCGACAUAACCAAAAGAUUCUGCACCAGCAAGGACUGCAUUCAUUUGGACUGGAGCCAAAAUCACAGCAGUUCAUUGCUGAUUAUAGACAACAAAACUACGAUACUUCUGAGGAACUCAAUCAGUUUCCUUUGCUUCAAGAAGGUGAUCUCCAAAAAGGACAAGGAGAACAAAAUACCAGCCAGAUUUUUGAAACAAUUGUAAUGUCGAUUCCGCAGAAAAAUCCAAUUUCAACACAGCAGGACAUAACAUCUAAUCCAGAAAGUGAAUUUCAGUAUUUGAAGCUUCCGAAGAUCGGUAGUCAAAAGGAAAUGAUCACAGAGCAGUCAAACACCCCAAUACCAUCUGACAUAUUACUACCUUGCUUAUUGUCUCGUGUUGAUAGAAACAGAGGCUUGCAACUUACCACUCUAUAUGGUAAACUUCAGAAAAAAGAACUUUCCGGAACUGAUUUUUUCCGUCAAAUAAGACGUGUUGUUGGGGAGCAGAUGCUCAGAUCAACAGUAAUGGAAAUACAGUUACAGAUGAAAAGCUUGCAGCCUGCUCCUGAACGCCAGUUAUCGCCUCUUGCUCAACUACCUCCACGGAUGUUUUCUAUCAGUGCAGGUUCUACACAGUUGACUGAUCCUCCUUCAUUCUCACAAUAUCAGAGAGGCGCUAACCCUGCCACAGACCUAUCAGACAUUUCCUCCUCAGCAGUUCAAGUGCAGGUUGAUUCAAGCCAUUCCGUUGUUGAAAACAGUGCUAAAAAUCUGAUGGACACUGGAAAUCGGUCAGAUUCUCAUGGAAUGCAAUUAAGUCAAAUGUCUUCUUCCUGCACACGCGCUGCUUAUCCUAAAAGGAAAUGCUCCUCAGCAUCCACGCAGGUACUUAAUGAGAAGCGGCAACAACAAUUGCACUACCCACAAUCAUCGGUUGCCAUGUAUGCAAAUACCAGCGGUCAGUCAGGUGGGGAAGCACAGGAAAUGAACAUUAUUGGUGUAUCCAAAUUAGUGAUGCAAAAUUCUGUGUUAGAACCUAAUAGACUGCAAGGUGGAUCUCAUUUUCACUUUACAAAUAAUUCAACGUUACCGCAGAAUCCAGUUGCUUGGCAAUCCUCAAAUAGAGGACAGAAUUUUGGUCUUUUGUCCUCAAUGGCUUAUGUAGACCGGGGACCAGAUGAUCGGGCUUCUGAUCAACAGCAGAAACCCCCAUUAAAUUCACAGGGAUUGCCUUCUGUUUCUGCUCCACAAGUUGAACCAGAAAAUGUAUCGCCUGGAAUAUCAACAAAUGAGUCUUUUGAGAAGCAUUCUUUAAAAUCUACAAGCAUAGUGCCUUCAUCAGCAGCAACAACAGUUCCCACAAAACCUGUUUCUCCUCCCAUAACAACACAAGUCGGUGCUAAUUUCACGUUAGGCCCUCAUAUUCAUUCCAGAAUUUCUCUUGCUGGAGUUGAUAGUGGAACACCUCCAGGGAACGCUUUUAUUGGCAAAAAGAAGCCUCGUAAAGCAGUUGGUUCUUCAUCACAACCAACAAGUAAGAAGCAAAAAGUAUCUGGAGCUUUUUUGUAUCAAAGCAUUGAGCAGGAAAAUGAUGUCAUUGCUGUUAGUUGCAUUAAUCUUAGGGAAGAGGAAGAGCAGCUUCUUUCUGGUCCCCAGGAGGAUUCUCGAGCUUCAGAAGCAUCAGGACAAGCUGUGCAAGAAGAAGAAGACGAGAGGAUGAUUUUGCAGAAGAUUCCCUUGAUGAAAAAAUUGACAGAAAUCGUGGUCAGAUGUGGGUUGAAAAAUAUAAGGAAUGAUGUGGAACGAUGCUUGUCACUGUGUGUGGAGGAAAGAAUGAGGGGACUAAUAAAUAAUUUGAUUGGAUUGUCAAAGCAGCGAGUGGAUGCUCAGAAACCAAGAUGCCACACUAUUACUACCUCGAAUGUUCAACUGCAAAUUAUGAAUCUCAAUUUGGCAGCUAGGAAAGAAUGGCAGGUGGAGGAACAAGCGGUCCAGAAGCUUAGUGAACCUGAUGUUAACAAUGGAGUCAACCACAGUAAGGACAAAGAUCAAGGUUGUUCUAAAUUGUUUAAGGCAAAUAAAGAAGAAGAUGAUAAAAUGAGUACAACAGCAGCAAAUGUUGCGGCCCUUGCUGCUGUUGGAGGAGAUGACAUGUUGUCAAAAUGGAAACUUAUCGCUGAGCGAGCCAGGAAAAAGCGUGAAGGUGGGUUUAAUGCUCCAUCUGUGUCCCAGGAUGUGAACCACAAGCCCACAACAGCGGGAAGAAUUAUGAUGUACAAUCAAGUAGCAGAGAAAAUGCGGGAUGGAGCUGGUAAUCGUCAUUAAAUUGAAUUGUUCGUCAAUUUCUGAUUUCUUCCAGCUUGUGUUUAGAUAUUAUUACUGCUGCGCCUACUUGAUUCAAAUGGACUCUAUGCCAUUCUAGUUGGUUCAUUCUCAUGCCGAUUCGACAAACUGUAGUAAAGGGGAUUUAGUGCCAGUGGAGAAUGUACACACUUUGGAUCGGCAUGAGUAACACAAUACAAUUCCUCAUCUUAUAGAAGUUUUGAGUUGGCAUAUAUUCCUUUACAGUCAAAUCCCAGAUACUUAAACCUUCAAGAAGGAAAGCUUAUCAAAUGCCAGGCCCAUACAAAUGAACAAUUUGCUUCAAUUUUCCCUUUCAGUUGGGUGGACAGUAGACCUAAUAGCAGAUUUUUGACUUCGGUCAGUCUCUCAGUCUUUCUCCUAAACCCUAUUUCUCUAAGUCAAGCAUCAUCUCUCCUUAUUUCAAUUUCUAUUGCUUGAAUUUGGAAGGCUAAAUUUCCAUCAAAGGAUCUGUGGCAUGAAUUGUCUUUGGAAGGUAAUUAAAUGUCGAAGAUUUUGAAGUUAAUAAGUUUUAUUUGUGCUGAUGAACUUAUGGUUUAGACCAAGGAAGAAGUAGAAUUUUGAAGAGUUUGGGGAGGAGGAAGUGGAUGGCCUGGAUAUGGGACUAUAAGAAAUUUUGGAGAAAACCAAGUUGUCAUGCCCCAAACAAGGGUGGUGCGUAGUAUAUCAGUAAAAGAUGUGAUUGCUGUUCUAGAACGGGAACCUUGGAUGUCAAAGUCUCCUCUGACGUAUCUCUUAU